ACCUGGAGUGGUGACUUGACUCCCUCCGAUCUUUUUUUACAUCUCAAGAUCUUCCAAGUAUGUCAACCUUCACCUUCUACCAUCAAAUCUGUUUUGCAUCAACAUACCAAUGCAGUAAGUUAGUGUUAGAGGCUACCUCUAACAAACUACACAAACACACCCAAGAAGGCUCUUAGGUGUUACUUUUCUUGCAGUCUGCAAUCGGAUUUUUUAUUUGUAAAGACUUCGCCCAAGGAAGACGCGAAGCAGGCUGAUGUGGAGAGCACUUCCGGUCUGUGGCUUUGAAGGCACAUACUCCUUUUGCGUCUGAACUAAGCGGAGCAGAGAUCUGCCCAACGCUGUGAGCUUCUGAAAUUUCGCGAUUGCUGUCUGUGCCAUACACUUCUCUACUCCGUGCUCUUCUACAUUUCGUGCUGAACCUCCUUGUUUUCCACCUGGCAGCUAUUUGAUGUAUAACCGUCUACCAAACCACGUAUCUGCGUGGUUGAGGACGGUGAACCCGGCACAAGAAAGCAAGCUCAAGGCAAUGAUAUCGCAUUUGCCUGGGCGGUGAUUUUUCCGUACUCGAGCACAUCUUGAGAUGCACUGCUGAAAGUCCCUAAACCAAUCUCUUCAAAAACUCACUCAUCGUAGUGUCAAUGAGGAUACCCUUUGAAAACCCCCGUACUAUGAGAUAUGUCAUGGGAUUUAAUCUUCCGAAUGAAUUGUUUUCAAUCAUUAAAAAAAGGCGUCCGGUGUUCUUACGGUAUUCCAAUCAUGAAUAUACAUUCUGGCGAGG
rnacentral:sRNA from 1 species